CGGACUAAUGGGAGCUUGCUCCCGUUAGUUAGCGGCGGACGGGUGAGUAACACGUGGGCAACCUACCUGUAAGACUGGGAUAACUUCGGGAAACCGGAGCUAAUACCGGAUGACAUAAAGGAACUCCUGUUCCUUUAUUGAAAGAUGGCUUCGGCUAUCACUUACAGAUGGGCCCGCGGCGCAUUAGCUAGUUGGUGAGGUAACGGCUCACCAAGGCGACGAUGCGUAGCCGACCUGAGAGGGUGAUCGGCCACACUGGGACUGAGACACGGCCCAGACUCCUACGGGAGGCAGCAGUAGGGAAUCUUCCGCAAUGGACGAAAGUCUGACGGAGCAACGCCGCGUGAGCGAUGAAGGCCUUCGGGUCGUAAAGCUCUGUUGUUAGGGAAGAAUAAGUGCUAGUUGAAUAAGCUGGCACCUUGACGGUACCUAACCAGAAAGCCACGGCUAACUACGUGCCAGCAGCCGCGGUAAUACGUAGGUGGCAAGCGUUGUCCGGAAUUAUUGGGCGUAAAGCGCGCGCAGGCGGUUUCUUAAGUCUGAUGUGAAAGCCCCCGGCUCAACCGGGGAGGGUCAUUGGAAACUGGGAAACUUGAGUGCAGAAGAGGAAAGUGGAAUUCCAAGUGUAGCGGUGAAAUGCGUANAGAUUUGGAGGAACACCAGUGGCGAAGGCGACUUUCUGGUCUGUAACUGACGCUGAGGCGCGAAAGCGUGGGGAGCA
rnacentral:rRNA from 1 species